rnacentral:misc_RNA from 1 species
GUAUUGAUUGCGUGUGACCGCAAAAAUAACAUUCUACACUGUAUCAAGUUUUGUGUGAAAACGUGAGCCCUCCUGCAAAGGGGGGACCCGCGCGGUGAUGCACAAAGGGGUGAGAUGGAUUUUGUGCGAGAGCGCUCGGGCGUGCACGACCUUUGAAGGUCAGCGACAGCCCUCGCACCUCGGUUGUACGAUAAUGAUCCUUCCGCAGGUUCACCUACGGAAA